GACGAACGCUGGCGGCGUGCUUAACACAUGCAAGUCGAACGGAAAGGCCCUGCUUUUGUGGGGUGCUCGAGUGGCGAACGGGUGAGUAACACGUGAGUAACCUGCCCUUGACUUUGGGAUAACUUCAGGAAACUGGGGCUAAUACCGGAUAGGAGCUCCUGCUGCAUGGUGGGGGUUGGAAAGUUUCGGCGGUUGGGGAUGGACUCGCGGCUUAUCAGCUUGUUGGUGGGGUAGUGGCUUACCAAGGCUUUGACGGGUAGCCGGCCUGAGAGGGUGACCGGCCACAUUGGGCCUGAGAUACGGCCCAGACUCCUACGGGAGGCAGCAGUGGGGAAUAUUGCAAAAUGGGCGGAAGCCUGAUGCAGCAACGCCGCGUGCGGGAUGACGGCCUUCGGGUUGUAAACCGCUUUCGCCUGUGACGAAGCGUGAGUGACGGUAAUGGGUAAAGAAGCACCGGCUAACUACGUG
rnacentral:rRNA from 1 species